UUGCUCCGCUGACGAGUGGCGAACGGGUGAGUAAUGCAUCGGAACGUGCCUAUUUGUGGGGGAUAACGUAGCGAAAGUUACGCUAAUACCGCAUACGCCCUGAGGGGGAAAGCGGGGGAUUCGUAAGAACCUCGCGCAAUUAGAGCGGCCGAUGUCGGAUUAGCUAGUUGGUGGGGUAAAGGCUCACCAAGGCGACGAUCCGUAGCGGGUCUGAGAGGAUGAUCCGCCACACUGGGACUGAGACACGGCCCAGACUCCUACGGGAGGCAGCAGUGGGGAAUUUUGGACAAUGGGCGAAAGCCUGAUCCAGCCAUGCCGCGUGAGUGAAGAAGGCCUUCGGGUUGUAAAGCUCUUUCAGCCGGAAAGAAAUCGCGCAGGCUAAUACUCUGCGUGGAUGACGGUACCGGAAGAAGAAGCACCGGCUAACUACGUGCCAGCAGCCGCGGUAAUACGUAGGGUGCGAGCGUUAAUCGGAAUUACUGGGCGUAAAGCGUGCGCAGGCGGUUAUAUAAGACAGAUGUGAAAUCCCCGGGCUCAACCUGGGAACUGCGUUUGUGACUGUGUGACUAGAGUACGGCAGAGGGAGGUGGAAUUCCGCGUGUAGCAGUGAAAUGCGUAGAUAUGCGGAGGAACACCGAUGGCGAAGGCAGCCUCCUGGGCCAGUACUGACGCUCAUGCACGAAAGCGUGGGGAGCAAGCAGGAUUAGAUACCCUGGUAGUCCACGCCCUAAACGAUGUCAACUAGUUGUUCGGUGAGGAGACUCAUUGAGUAACGCAGCUAACGCGUGAAGUUGACCGCCUGGGGAGUACGGCCGCAAGGUUAAAACUCAAAGGAAUUGACGGGGACCGCACAGCGGUGGAUGAUGUGGAUUAAUUCGAUGCAACGCGAAAACCUUACUACCUUGACAUGGUUGGAAUCCGAGAGAUUUGGAGUGCCCGCAAGGACCAUACACAGUGCU
rnacentral:rRNA from 1 species